rnacentral:rRNA from 1 species
GACGAACGCUGGCGGCGUGCUUAACACAUGCAAGUCGAGCGGAGCGGCGAACGGGUGAGUAACGCGUGAGUAACUGCCCCCCUCUCGGGGAAAACAGUUGGAAACGGCGGCUAAUACCGGAAAGUGGGGGAUGAGGGGGGUCCUAUCAGCUUGUUGGUGGGGUAUGGGCCUACCAAGGCGACGACGGGUAGCCGGCCUGGGGGGGGGACCGGCCACAUUGGGCUGAGAUACGGCCCAAACUCCUACGGGAGGCAGCAGUGGGGAAUAUUGCACAAUGGGGGAAACCCUGAUGAAGCAACGCCGCGUGCGGGAUGACGGCCUUCGGGUUGUAAACCGCUUUCAGCCAUGACGCGGUAGUGGCAGAAGAAGCACCGGCUAACUACGUGCCAGCAGCCGCGGUAAUAC